CAGAGAUCAGAGAACACGAGCUGUUUCUGAGACAGCUGACCUUCAGUGUGUUUGUGCUGCACUGGAAGGACCGAAUGUCUCCACAAGUGAGCUCCUCAACAAUCAAACACUUCCAUCUACACCCCAUGAUGCCGAGGCUCUCAGAAGACACCAUCUCUGUUCCUGGACCAGAUCUGCAGAAGUUGAAAUCAAAGCAAAGAUUACCGGGAUUUUUGCCCUGAAUUUCUGUCUGGAGAAGACGCUGCGCUUCAGCUGAAAACUGUGAUGUUUUCUUCAGUCUGAUGGUCCUCCGUCGUUCAGUGUUUCUUCUGACUGCUUGAAGUAAAGCAGUUCAUUCCAGCCUAAAAUCAAACCAUUUCACUAGCUUAAUUAAAGUGACUGAAAAAUGACAAAGUAACACAAGCAGGCUUUUAUUCGUCUCUCUGUCACAGAUUUGUUGAAUGGCUUUAAUGAGAGAGUUGCUUUAUUCUGGUAUAAACACAAAGCUUCUUAACAUCUUCUCGGUAAUGAAGCACCUUCUGUCCACAGACUGAUCACUCUUCAGUGGAAAUUCUUUAUAAACUAAUACUUUUCUGAACCUGUGAAGGAGUUUAUCAUCCUGCUGCACAGAAAAUCUGAGAGAUGUCUGUCUAGUUAUAUAUCAGUCUCAUUACAUGAUGACUCUCUUAGAGCUUUUCAUUUCAGAUGAGGAACUUGUUUAUCAGUGUUUAUGGCUGUAAGUUGUCUUCGGCACUGCGACACAGACAUUUAUAAACACAUUUGUGUUUUCAGUGUCCUAGAUAUCGUUUGGUGUAUGUCUGGAGAGCCGUGUAGCAGAAAUGGCACGAACUGACCUCUAAAGGUCAAAUUUCACACAGGCCUUUAUUGUGGUUUAAAAUAUGACAACACGACCUUUCCAGUGUGUGCGUGCACAAAAAGCAUGUUCCCCCGGCGUAAUUAAACUGUGUGUGAUAAAGGCUGGAAAUAUCACACUUCACACCCGCUGUGGUGCAGAAACAACACGGCUCUUCUGACUCUAUUAGACAUGAGACACUACACACAAACACAGUGUGAAGAGAAUGAUUCAAAUGAUA